rnacentral:lncRNA from 1 species
AAGAUCUGAACUUAUGAAUCAUCACAGAAGUUUCAAUAUCUGGCUAUAUAUACACUUAACAUUAAGAGCCAGUCUAGGCAAGCUCUUGAGUAAUUGGACUAAAAUAUUCGACUUAUAUAUAUUAUUUUUUUCAUGUAUCAAAGAAUUUAUACAUGGUUGAGCCCAUUAUACAUAUUUUGGUUGAAAAGAAUAGAACCCAUCAUGUAUAUUUUCUAUACACCAAAUUAUUAUUUGGCUUCGUAAAAAUAUAGUUACUAGAUGACAUGAAGUUAUCAAAUUCAAACCCCCGUGACCAUCACCAAUACUGAAGAAGAUCAAUCAUGUGAAUUUUUUUGGCAACACAUAUAAAUCUUGUAGUCUAUAUUACUCUGGUUAUUUGACAAGAACACAUUGAUUGCUUGAUUUUGAUCCGACAAAUUUAAAACGCAAAGGCACAAUAAAAUGCGUGAUAGAAGAAGAAGAAUUUAUACAGGGUCAAAGCUUUCAAAUUGAAUGCUUGAAGACUUGAAGCAACAAAAG